GGUGCCUUCCCCUUACACUUCCUGUCCACAUAACUCUUCUGGGCACUCUUUUCUAUAACAAUAACAAUCUUUUUUACUGUCAUCAUUAUCCUCAAAUCUUGGUGGAGGUGGUUUGUAUGGCUUGUCCUCUGUGCUCUCAUAACCAUCAUCACUUGAAGAUCUAUCAACAAUAUCAUCAUCCUCAAUGUUAAAAGUCUGAAUCAGACAAUGAAGCAUCCAAGAUAAGGUAAUCAAAGUACAGAUAAAACUCAUCUGUCUCUUUGUUCAUCAUCUUAUUCUCCCGUAAUUCGUUAAUUUCUACAUCUCCUUUAACAAGAUGCAGUCCAGAUUCCAAGUCAGAUGCAGUGUUGUCAAACCAGUACAUGACUUUAUAAUCAUGGUAGCCUAAUUCCUUAAAUAAGGUCUCCAGCUCAAAGAAGUUGAUAUGAUUAAUAUCCAUCUUGAAAAAUAUCUCAACCUUUCCAUCAAUAUAUACAAGCACAUUUUUGUUAUCCCAUAAAAAAUGACUCCAUGAUUAAAAGCAGAGACCACAAAAUCAUCCAUCUGUUAAAAUUUUGGAUACAAUAAUAUUAACAACAUUGACUAAAAAUCCUACAUGGUAUAUGAUCACAUUAAUAUUAACAUAUCACCUAAUAAAACUAUCACUUUCCAUGAAAAAGCUCAAUCAUAUUUUAAUACUACAUUAGCCUAAUGGUUCUAGUUGUGUUCUAUAGAAAUAGAAAUCCUAAUACUCAAGUGGGACCAUAAAUAUAAAAUGGAGUAAUUAUAGAAUGCUAUCAAAGGUCACAUGAAAAUCUACAAGUCAAAUAAAUUAUUUUCUAAUAUUUGUCAACGUCGAGUAUCAACAACUUUCGUUAAAGUUCCUCGCCUCUUUCCUUUUACUUCAACCAGAGUUAUGACAACACUGUCGGUAAUGGGAAAGAUGGAUUAAUAUUGCUAAUGGAGUUUAUGAAGGUGUUGAGUUAGGAGAUGAAUCAGACUUCCACCAUGGUUUUUCUCCAUAAAACCCAAUGGAGGGACUGGGGUUUGAUGUCUUUUUAUCAAAGCAACAAGAAGAAACGAUUAUAAUAGGGUUUGACUCAUUUGCACGCAUCGUUUUGAAACUCAAAAACGGUGUCAUUCUUGACAUAAGCACAUGGACUACAAUGUCUGCUUUGAUACACGUGGCACUUAACGGUAAUGUGUAUAGUUAACACUCUACGCAGACAACUUUCGUCGGUCACUAACAGGCAAAUUUGAAUAGGGGACAGAUUCGUCUAACGGCGAUAGCCUUCCGGCACUACAAAAAAAAUGAAUUAAAAUGACAAUAGUUUUAUGGUGGUUACACAAAACUUCCUUUUUUUGGCCAAUUUUGGCAUUUUUAGCCUCUGCCAUAAUUUUUCAUAUUUUUGUGGCGUUUUAGUUUAUUAUGGAGGUUUAUAACGCCACUAUGAUUUUUAGUUUCUCUUUUAAUUGGAUGAUUAGUGUUGCUGCAUAUGAGAAAUUGGGGGUAAUGUAAAUUGACUCGCGUUUCUGCGUUCCUCUUUCUCGCCGUCGUGGUGUUCUUCACUGCUAUGCUCGCAUCACGUUCUGCUCUGCUCAUGUCAUGUGCUUCUUCUCGCAUCGUGUUCUGCUCUGCUCUGCCAUGUUCGAUCUUCGGCCCGCGCCAUUCUGAAACAUUCGCUUUGUUCCGCCGUGGUGUCAUUCACAUCUUCCUCUCAAGUCUCUCGGGCAUGACAAAAAUUUCUCUCAAAUUUUACUUACUAGUGGUUUAAUUUGGUUGAAUUGUUGAAAUAACAAAACUACUCUAAUCAUGUUCAAUUAGAAACCCUAACCCCAACCACUUUUGAAUUUUGAUUUUGAUUUGAAAUAAUGAUGGGAGAAAAUUUUUAUAUGAUGGUGAUGUCACUAUUGACAAUAUUAAGGUACGCUUCUUUCUACUUGUCAGGGCUCUGUUCAUUUUGUUAUCAUAUUAAUGAAUGUGCAUGAAUGCUAUCUUCUAUCUUAGUUAUGUUUGAAAUCUUGGUUGUGGCUGAAAAUUCCAUGUAUGCUUUUUUUCUUAGGCAUUUGGUGAAGAUUUUCUUCAUGACAAGUUAAAACUUUUCCUCAAGUCAGAUCCAGUUCCAGAAACUAAUGAUGGUGACAUAAAAAUUUGUUGUCCAAAAACAAAAUGAUCAACAGAAUUAUGAGUGCACAAAAUCUUCAAAGAAAACUCUCUCCAGAACUUGUCAAGCUGCCAUACCUUAAAGAGAUGUAUAUAAUAAAUGUCUUAUUUGAAGUAGGAGACCAUACUUAAGAGGAUAUAUAUUUGAAGGUGUAAAACCAGCACUUAUUAGAUGGUUUAAAUACAUUAUUAGAUAUUAACAUAGUUUAGGAAAUUGGAUGAUAGAUUUGACUAAUUAGUACUUAUUGCAAUGCUUGUAUUUUGGUAAGUUUAGUAAGACAAAUUUUUGUAUAGGAGUUAUUACUUUUGAUUUCCAAUAAUAAAAAAUUAUAUAUUAUAUUAA